UCCUUGGUGGCUCAGAGGGUAAAGCAUCUGCCUGCAAUGUGGGAGACCUGGGUUCGAUCCCUGGUUUGGGAC
rnacentral:tRNA from 1 species